rnacentral:rRNA from 1 species
AUUGAACGCUGGCGGCGGGCCUAACACAUGCAAGUCGAACGAGUGGCGGACGGGUGAGUCAUGUCUGGGAAACUGCCUGAUGGAGGGGGAUAACUACUGGAAACGGUAGCUAAUCCCGCAUACCAUCAGAUGUGCCCAGAUGGGAUUAGCAAGUUGGUGGUGUAACGGCUCACCAAGACGACGAUCCCUAGCUGGUCUGAGAGGAUGACCAGCCACCCGGGAACGGAGACACGGUCCAGACUCCUACGUGAGGCAGCAGUGGGGAACAUUGCACAAGGGGCGAAAGCCUGAUGCAGCCAUGCCGCGUGUAUGAAGAAGGCCUUCGGGUUUAAAAGUACUUUCAGCGGGGAGGCGUUACCCGCAGAAGAAGCACCGGCUAACUCCGUGCCAGCAGCCGCGGUAAUUC